AGUGAACGCUGGCGGUAGGCCUAACACAUGCAAGUCGAACGGCAGCACAGAGGAGCUUGCUCCUUGGGUGGCGAGUGGCGGACGGGUGAGGAAUACAUCGGAAUCUACUCUGUCGUGGGGGAUAACGUAGGGAAACUUACGCUAAUACCGCAUACGACCUACGGGUGAAAGCAGGGGAUCUUCGGACCUUGCGCGAUUGAAUGAGCCGAUGUCGGAUUAGCUAGUUGGCGGGGUAAAGGCCCACCAAGGCGACGAUCCGUAGCUGGUCUGAGAGGAUGAUCAGCCACACUGGAACUGAGACACGGUCCAGACUCCUACGGAAGGCAGCAGUGGGGAAUAUUGGACAAUGGGCGCAAGCCUGAUCCAGCCAUACCGCGUGGGUGAAGAAGGCCUUCGGGUUGUAAAGCCCUUUUGUUGGGAAAGAAAUCCAUCUGGUUAAUACCCGGGUGGGAUGGCGGUACCCAAAGAAUAAGCACCGGCUAACUUCGUGCCAGCAGCCGCCGUAA
rnacentral:rRNA from 1 species